UGUAAGUUUCUGUUUGUAGCUAAACAAAACACAGGGUAUCCAGGAUAUCCUUUAUGUCUGCCUUGGACUCACAGAAAGCCUCUGCAUUUUCACAGGUGUCAGUGCAGAAUGAUGAGAUGAGGACAGCAUGACCCUAGACAUUUUAGUUGAUUUUUUUGUAGCUUCUACCUCAUGGCAAAUCUUUUUUCUUUCCCUCUGGCAAGCCAGGGUUUUCUUGAACAUCCCUGAAAUGGCCUACGUUAUAGUUAACCUUCUAAAAUCUGUUUCUCGCUAUGGGAAUUUUCAUUCAGAACAUUUCAAGUACAAGGAGGGUCCUUGUCCACUUCCCACCCCCAGUCUUUGGGUCUCAAAAGAGUCUGUAAUUAAUUGUGUGUGGCAUUGUGGGGGGAAAAUUAGAGGGCUGCAUUUAUCUUCAAAUCAUACUUUAGUUUAUGCCAGCCUCAGUGAGACCAGUCCAAAGAAAGAAUGGAAUUUAAGACUCUCUUUCCAUCUUUCGUAUCAGUGCCUCCUCCUUCCACUUUCUCAUCCCACUCGCUUAAAAGAGGGCUUAUCAUCAUUACUCUUAGCUUUCCACACACUAUUAAGUUACCAAUGCAGGUAGAUAGAACCACUUCUAGGGUAAAGAAUUUUGUCUGGCAUUCCAGUGUUUACCCUUUAUGACUCCCCAUAACUGUCAACCUGAGGCCCACAUAAUAGCAAAGCUAUGAAUUCCUUAAGCCAGAAACCAAGAAAGUCCUGGUCAUAUGGACCUUCCCAGGCCACAGAAUAAUACCUUGCUCUUUCCAGUUACAUUCUCACCUUGGAGAUAGCCUCUUGGGUUAAAUGUCAACCUAAUACUCUGUUUCUAUAGUUUACUAUUAAUAGAGUAUCAGUAUUUGUUGAGCAUGAACAUGCCAGGCACUGUUCCUGGCCCUGCAGCUACAACUAUCAAAAAGACACAAUCCCUUAAGGAGACUUUCAUGGGAGAGGAGGAAAAUGAACGUCUAAAUCUAUGCUAAUGAUAUAGGAUCAUUCUAUCAAGUGUCUGGAGGUGAAGCAACAAUCUCGCAACCACUGAGUACAGAAACUGAACGUUAAGGAUGGAGAAGUUGGAAGUGAAAAGGAGAUUGAGUUCUUAACUUUUUUUUUUUUUUUUUAAAGUAGCUAGAGCUGCUAUUAUCUAUUUAUGGACUUCAUGUUAUACAAGAAAAAAACUUCUAUUUGCUGAAGCCACUGAGGUCAACCUUCUUUUAUAUGCAGCUGAACACAACACAAACUGAGGGUCUACAUCUUUGACCUUUUUGAUCUUUGGUCUGUGAUUACAGCAGAAAUAGCCCUCUUCCCACAGAAUUUAUGUUAAUUUAGAUCUUUUUUCCAUGUUCCGUGGGAUCAACAAGGAGAUAGAACCAUUUUAACAAUUUGAACAAAGAAAAUCUAAAGAUUGUUAACCAAUAAAAGGUAUCUAUUAAGAAGAAUAAAGUGGUUUCUAAGAGGUGCAGAAGUAGCAACUGUCGGAAGAGCUACUACCCUUGGCUAAGGAUGAGUGAACAGAAAGGAAGACCUUAGAAAUUUAAAGAAGAGGGCAUGGCUGUCACAGGACUGUAUAGUCCCCCUGUGGUGAAGGAACUUGCUAGAGGCACCAGCCACAAGUGAACCAGGAAGACUGCUGAGGUCCACAAAACCAGGCUCCUCUUGGGAACCAAUCCAUGGGCUCCACACAGAAUGAAAGAAAAGUCAUUUCCUCCAGCUCUGGUCUCACAGGGUCUUUCCAUGGCCCUCUUCUGGCAAAGCCUAACAUUUUGCCAGUUGUCAAAGCAGAAAUGCUUGCAGAGUCUAGCUCUAGAAAUAACAAAGCAAAAGAAUGGAUUUAUAGCUGAGAAGUCAUAAGUUAAUAAAUGGCACAGAUGGUAAGAUUCUCAGGGGUUAGGUCUAAUUCACAUUUAGGUCUUCUACAGCACCUAACAGAGUGUUAAACAUAGUAGUCACUCAAUAUAUUUUUACUCAAUAAUAUAUAAGGGGCUCAGUAUAUACAAAAUAAUUUGCAAUGUUUUU